rnacentral:rRNA from 1 species
GACAGAGGUGCCGAGCGUUAGGCGGAAUCACUGGGCUUAAAGCGUGUGUAGGCGGAUUGGUAAGUACCUUGUGAAAUCCCACGGCUUAACCGUGGAACUGCUUGGUAUACUGCUUAUCUUGGGCCACUUAGGGGCUAGCGGAACAAACGGUGGAGCGGUGAAAUGCGUAGAUAUCGUUUGGAACGCCAAUGGUGAAAACAGACUACUGGGGUGUGUGACGCUGAGACACGAAAGCCAGGGGAGCGAACGGG